UACGGAGGGUGCGAACGUUAAUCGGAAUCACUGGGUGUAAAGCGCGCGUAGGCGGUUUGUUAAGUGGGAUGUGAAAUCCCCGGGCUUAACCUGGGAAUUGCAUUUCAAACUGGCCGACUAGAGUACGGUAGAGGGAGGUAGAAUUUCCUGUGUAGCGGUGAAAUGCGUAGAUAUAGGAAGGAAUACCAGUGGCGAAGGCGGCCUCCUGGAUCGAUACUGACGCUGAGGCGCGAAAGCGUGGGGAGCAAACAGG
rnacentral:rRNA from 1 species